rnacentral:rRNA from 1 species
UACAGAGGGUGCGAGCGUUAAUCGGAGUUACUGGGCGUAAAGGGCGCGUAGGCGGUUGUAUAUGUGUGAUGUGAAAGCCCCGGGCUUAACCUGGGAAGUGCAUCGCAAACUGUAUAACUGGAGUACAAGAGAGGGUGGCGGAAUUUCCGGUGUAGCGGUGAAAUGCGUAGAGAUCGGAAGGAACGUCGAUGGCGAAGGCAGCCACCUGGCUUGAUACUGACGCUGAGGCGCGAAAGCGUGGGGAGCGAACAGG